CAAUAGCGUAUAUUAAAGUUGUUGCGGUAAAAGCUCGUAGUUGGAUUUCUGUUGAGGACGACCGGUCCACACCACGUGUGCGCAUCUGGCUCGGUCUCGGCAUCCUCUCGAUAGACGUUUCUGCGCUUGAUUGCGUGGUGCGGAUUUCGGGACUUUUACUUUGAGGAAAUUAGAGUGUUCACGGCAGGCUAUCGCCAGAAUACGUUAGCAUGGAAUAAUACUAUAGGAUCUCGGUUCUAUUUUGUUGGUUUCUAGAAGCGAGGUAAUGAUUAAUAGGGACAGUUGGGGGCAUUAGUAUUGCUUUGUCAGAGGUGAAAUUCAUUGAUUAUCGCAAGACUAACUUAUGCGAAAGCAUUUGCCAAGGAUGUUUUCAUUAAUCAAGAACGAAAGUUAGGGGAUCAAAGACGAUUAGAUACCGU
rnacentral:rRNA from 1 species